UCCUGAUAGCUUAGUUGGUAAAGAAUCCGCCUGCAAUGCAGGAGACCCUGGUUCAAUUCCUGGGUUGGGAG
rnacentral:tRNA from 1 species